rnacentral:rRNA from 1 species
UACGUAGGGGGCAAGCGUUGUCCGGAUUUAUUGGGCGUAAAGAGCGUGUAGGCGGCCAGACAGGUCCGUUGUGAAAACUCGAGGCUCAACCUCGAGACGUCGAUGGAAACCGUCUGGCUAGAGUCCGGAAGAGGAGAGUGGAAUUCCUGGUGUAGCGGUGAAAUGCGCAGAUAUCAGGAAGAACACCCGUGGCGAAGGCGGCUCUCUGGGACGGUACUGACGCUGAGACGCGAAAGCGUGGGGAGCGAACAGG